AAAAAAACAACUGUCGAAGUCAGACGAGUGUUGGUCGAGUCUACUGUCAACUACUGUGUUUGCGAUUGAGUGUUUUAGACAAGAAAUAUGCCCAGAUGCCCAGGAUAUUGAUUGCAGGGUACACCAAAUUUGGUCAACUUUCAUCAUGAGAUGCUAUAGUUCAGCUAUAGAGAGGACACAGAGAGUAAUUACAAAAAAAAAACGAAUUACUAAACUGCCAGUAGAUGUCCGACAGGAGCUUACGGACAGAAAGCGGCAGGCGCAAUUAGAUUUAGCAAUAAGGCCGCCUUUUGUCUCUAGUGUCUCGAUUUAUUUGUUUGGUACGUCAUUUUGUGCAAUCAAGUAUAUUGUAUUGCAAGACUGUAAUUUUAAAUUCUAAUAAAAAAUAUAUAUUUUUAAGGUCCGAAUGUUAAGUGCUUGGUAAAAAAUGUAAAUAAAACAAGCAUUCAAUUAUAAAUUGGUUUUAGUUCAUAUUAAUAAACCUUAAUUUUUCUACUGGUUUUCUU